rnacentral:misc_RNA from 1 species
AAGUCGUAACAAGGUUUCCGUAGGUGAACCUGCGGAAGGAUCAUUAAAAAAAUUUUGAGGUAUUUUAUACCUCUUGUAUUUAAAACCCAACUCUUUUAAACCUAAUUUUUUAAUAAAAAAAAACUUUCAACAACGGAUCUCUUGGCUCUC